rnacentral:rRNA from 1 species
UACGUAGGCGGAAAAUUAAGUCAGUAGUGAAAUCCUGCAGCUUAACUGCAGAACUGUUAUUGAUACUGGUUUUCUUGAAUAUAGUUGGGGUAGGCGGAAUGUGUAAUGUAGCGGUGAAAUGCUUAGAUAUUACACAGAACACCGAUUGCGAAGGCAGCUUACUAAGCUAAUAUUGACGCUGAGGUACGAAAGCGUGGGGAGCGAACAGGAUUAGAUACCCUGGUAGUC